rnacentral:rRNA from 1 species
GGUCCCUACGGGGCGCAGCAGUGGGGAAUAUUGGGCAAUGGAGGCAACUCUUACCCAGCAAUGCCGCGUGAAUGAAGAAGGUCUUCGGAUUGUAAAGUUCUUUAAUUGGGGACGAAAAAAAUGACGGUACCCAAGGAAUAAGCCCCGGCUAACUACGUGCCAGCAGCCGCGGUAAUACGUAGGGGGCAAGCGUUGUUCGGAAUGACUGGGCGUAAAGGGUGUGUAGGCGGUGUAGCAAGUUAGAAGUGAAAUACCUAGAGCUUAAGUCAGGUGCUGCUUCUAAAACUGCUAUACUUGAGUGCAGA